rnacentral:rRNA from 1 species
AAUCAACGCUGGCGGCGUGCCUAACACAUGCAAGUCGAACGCGAAAGUCCCGCAAGGGAUUAGUAGAGUGGCAAACGGGUGAGUAACACGUGGGUGACCUGCCCUCAGCUCUGGGAUAAGCCCGGGAAACUGGGUCUAAUACCGGAUAUGACUCCACGGUGCAUGUCGUGGGGUGGAAAGCCUUGUGCGGCUGAGGAUGGGCCCGCGGCCUAUCAGCUUGUUGGUGGGGNG